rnacentral:misc_RNA from 1 species
UACUCUCACACUUCCGAUUCUUGGAUCGGGAGUGGUGGACUUGGGUGUUGCUGCGGUACUGUGGCUCACCUCAAAUGCAGUAGUGCACCUCUCGGUUGGACGUAGUACGGCGUGAUAAGUGUCUUCGCCGGCACCUCCUCACAGAGGGUGGCCGAUCGGGAGCUCUGUGCUUCCAACUGUCCUCGGACAACGUUUGACA